AGGGGCUGAAGCCGUGGCUGCUGCCUCCCGUCCCUCCGUCCGUCCCUCCCUCCCUCCGGCGGCCCGGGGUGGCACGGGCCGGGGAAUGCCGGGACAGCGAGGACUGGUCCCGCCUGGUACGGAGAACAGCGCUCCGCAGCGGGAGAGCGGCCGGGAGGGCAGCGCCGGUUGGAGGCUGGCUGCAGGAAUGAGGAGGAGCAGGACCGUAAUCGCACUGAGCAGGUUGUGCUCAAUGGGCGCCGUCAGAUCGCCUCCCACAUGAUCUCGUAUGCGCCACACGCGCAGGAACACAUGGAGAACCAUUUUACAGUGAUUGCGAGGGAUUACAAGGUAACACAUUUCAGAAGCAUGAUACCAAUAGAACGAUGGAAGACAGUCCGAAUUCAAGAUCACAUCAUAUCAGUUAUGGGGCCUUGUUGUGAGUCUUUUUUGAGAGCAAAGAGAAAUAUUUGUCUGUUGCAUCUGGUAGAUGAUGACAAGAAAAAGCAUCUGCUGAAAUGGAUCCAUGAAAAUAAGCAAUGUUUUUGGUAAAUGAGAAAUUAAUGCAACACAUCUAUACACUUUGACCACAACUGUAUAUUUUAUUAUAUGAAUGUUAUCCCUGGGUCUAUUAUUAACACUGUCUUUGCAAGACUAUCCAUGGGAAGAGGGUAGAAAAGGGUGAGUAAUUAGUAAUGUACAUGUUCUGUACCAGUGGAUAAAGGCACAUCACCACUUACAGUAGGGUAUGGUAAUAAUGUGUUAUAUUAAGGUGCUGUUUUUAUAAGUGACUUCAAAUAUUGGUGACAACCUGUACAAACAUUUAUAAUAUUACUGUCAUAACAUACUCCUAACAUCACAUGUUAGAACCCUAUAUCAUUAUAAUUCUUACAGGCAGGAGCAAAAUAUUGCAGAGUAAUAUUUAUUAUGAUAAAUUCAGUGACAAUAUCAGAUGUUUUACCUUUCAAUCCAUUAAUUCCCAACGACUCAAAGAAAAGUCCAACCUGCAUCAUUUAUAGCAUCGUAUUACAAGUUCACUUGCUUUCUCAAUUGAGCAUAGUGUUAUGAUUGCCAAGCGUCCUCUUAGAGGCAAAAGAAUUUCACAUUGUCCCAUCAUCUGAUCAGGUUAAGGAUGUCUGGUUUUAAGGGUUAGAUUGCUCUCUUGAAGAAGGUAUUGAACACAAAACCCUGCUCUUUUUAAUUCACUUUGUGUGUAAUAAGCAAGCAGAUAGCAAAAGCAGCAGAACAGCUUUGGUGUAGGUAACUGAUCUUUCAGAAUGCCAGCUGUAGCAGAGCCUUCUGCACCUGCAGCAGCCUCUCUCCUUUGCAAACACAUUUUGCCUCCUGUCCUAAACAAACAGGGAUUAAAAUAAUCCCCAUCCUUCAGCUUUAUGCCAUCUCUUGUGGAUUGCUUCUUACAUGCUUUGGCCACCUAGGCCUGGAAGAUGAGCAAGAUGACUGUGACAGCACUUUAAAUUCUCUCUUAGUUACCAGUCAACACUGAAUUCUACUGUGAUGUUUUGGCACAAAAGCCUGAGGCGAUGCUAAGCAGGAGCAUUAUUACCUUUUCUUGCAGAAGGGCAAGACAGUUAUUCAAAUUCCAUCAGUUCAUAAUUCAUCUGACAAGGCACAACAGUACUAAUGGGCGGUAUUUCAAUGACAAAGCUAGUUCUAGCAGCACAGUGCUUCAUAACACCAGCAAUGCUUUGAUUUGCUACUGACAUUGAGAAAAAGUCCCAUCUGAAUGACUAAAUCUACUUCCCAUCUCUAAGAUGCAGAUGUAAAUGGACUUCUUCUAACUAAAGGCUGGCCAGCUCUAAUAUUAAUAAAUGUGGCAAGUUUGAGAAAUUCAUGUCUUAAAAGACGUAUAGUUGCAGCCUCUGAAAUCCUUACAGUAAUUUCACGACCAUAAGGCGCACCGGACUAUAAGGCGCACUUCCGGGUUCAGGGGAAAAUUUUAGUCAAAAGGGUGCACCUUAUAGUCGUGAAAUUACUGUACUUCCCUCCAAGUAAAGUGUCCUCAACCCAAAUCCUCAAAUCAAUCAUUCCUUAGAUCCAGUACCUCUGUCUUUGUGUCAGCUCCUGUUAUUUGAUCUAUGAAUUCUUUGACGUUUUCCAGGGAAAGAGAAAUGCAAGCAGGAGUGACUCAAGAAGAGAAAUGGCAGAGCAGCACAGGCUGUAGUUCCGUGAGUUAUCCCAUUGCCAAUCUCACCUCGUGCCCCAUGCACUGAGAUAAAGAGCUGUGGUCUAAGAGAAGUUCACUGUCCAUGUCCAUAAGUCUAGUUAUUUCCUAGGCACUCCAUUCUAGUGGAAAUUCGUAGGAUAGCAGUCUUUUUCCAUGGGGAAUCCAUAGAGCUUCCUCACAGGCAAGAUUUAUAGAGUUUUAAAUCUAGAUAACAUACUAGCUCAUAAUGCCAUUUGUGUUCAUUUUCUAGUUUUGCAACCAUAAAAACACUUUGUUUUCUGCUUAGCAAAAGUGUGAGCACUGAUGAGGGGACAUUGUUUAGGUUUAGAAGGAAUUCUGAGAUAAGAACUUCAUAAAACUAAACUCAAGUAGUGAUACAAGUUGUAUUGGCCUUAGUGGAAGUACAUGCUCUGCCCCAGAUGUGAACAUGACUUCAGCUUCCCUCAAGAACAAGUGCAAGUACUGACUUAUUACUGUUAGGGGUAACACUGGUGACUAUUGAGCUGCUUUUUCAUAUGAAACUUAGCUCUCAAUACUGGAUAAUUAUAUAAUCUCGCAGGACCAACCCAACAUCAUUAUAAUGUGAUAACAACAGCGUUCCUGUUAGGAUGACUCACAAAGCAUGAAACGUGUCUAUACAUCUACGGGGUUAGAGGCCAGAAACUGAAGUUAAGACAUACCAAAUAACCACCAAUAACAGUUGUAUCCUGUCUGGUUUUAUUUUCUCAAGACAAUGUGUAUCCGAGCCUUUAUUUCUUUCUGUGUCAGGCGCCUGGAGCGGCUGCGUGCGCUCCUUGCGGGAGGAAGGGGUGGGAGGGGUGGCACGCUUCCUGCCCGCGGCUGUGCGGGCAGCGCGAUGGAGCGGCCGGCUCGGGGCUGCGGCUGCACCGCCGUGCUGCUUGGGGCGAACAUCCUGGCACACAGCCCUGUUCCUGUGGUGGUGCUGUGCCUCAGCAAGCCCCUGCUCUGGAGUUUUUUACAGAGCUCUUAUCAGGGAUUAUCCCUGACAAGUCCAUACAGCAAUGAAGCAGGAGUAGUGUAACAUACCCUGGUCCAUAGCUCACUGUCACACAGUGGCUGCAGGUGUGGUUCCAAGCACUCAAACAACCAAACUGGCUCCUAAGAGCAUUAAUUAUGAAGUAGUUCUUAAAACCAUUUUAUGCACACGACAGUGACAGCAUUUAAUGAGAUAGAACAUAUGCAUUAUUCUACAAAAAGAGACACAGAUUUGCAGUCCUAAAUUAGGGAUAACUGCAGUCAAUGCGGGUAGUCACCUCCCCUUCCAUUACUGGACUCCAUGACCAUGGUCAUUAACAUUUAUAUAAACCUGGACUCCAGUAAGUGCCAAAUUUGUCUUUUUCACUUUGCAUUGCUAAAAGCAGUGGACAAACUCUGCAAAUUUGGAAGCUUCUCACUUCCCAAACAUGGAGUAUUGCUUGUGUAUCCCUGAAGGUUCAGGUAUAAUUCUUGUUGAUGCUCUGUCCAAAAGGACAAGUAGUGUUUAUCCUAUAACAGAACACCAUAUGAAUCUUCUUAAGGUCCAUUAGGUUUUUCAAGGCCCUCUGAGUUGCUUUCAGUCAUUCUUUGUCAGACAAUACAAGACACACUCAGCUCAGAGGUUUAGCUUACAGUGUUUGCUCUGUAAUAUCACUCAGGAGAGUGACAAUUUCCUCUGAGUAUGUUUUCAGUGGUGAUAAGAUUUUCUGCAAAUCCACCAUUUUAAAUAAUCUUGGAGAAUGUUUCCCUUCAAGGGUUUCCUUUACUUGGGCCUAAACUACCUGAGUUUCUCCUAUCCUCCCCAUGAAGAUUUUUCUUUCUCCCGGGAGCCUGGAUCACAGUUAGUGCAAGAACAAUCCCUCAGGAAUCAUUCUGGCACUGCUUUCCAGGAACAUCUGCAGACCUGUCAGAAGGUCAGGGAGUGCAAGCAGGUGGUGAGAUAAGUGCACAACUGCAAAUCUGGCUGUUGGAGGCUUUAAGUUGCUGCCAGAGUGGCAGGAAGGGAGGCUAGCAGAGCAAUUAAUCUCAGAGCCCAGCUUCUAGAGGAGUUUUCCACCGUGGCCUAGGCAAUAAUUUUGCUAAAAGGCAUUAGAAUACCUGUUUGGCCAGCUUGGUCAGAAGUUCAGCCCCCAGACCUCUGUGCAGGCAGGAACUUAAUUGUCUUGGUGAGAGCAGAGUGGAAAAAGCCAACUGUGUAAAAACCUCUGAUUUCAAAUCCAAGCAAAAUUUUUUUUCAUUGCUUUUUGAUUCAGAUGGUUAUAGAGAUGCUGUGAUCUGAAGGGACUCUAUGUCCUUGCCUUCACAGCAGAGAGCUGAUCCAAAACCCUUUGGGGAGAGCAAUGAGUUGCACAAGGGGGUCAGCACCUGCUGAAGGAGGGCCCAGAUAUGUAGUGCAGCCUGACUGCAGGGAGCCACCUCCUACCCUCUGUGGGGAACAGGCUUGCUCAUCUGAGCUAUAGAAAGAGCAGUGACAAAAAUGCUGUCAUCUCUGCUGUGACACUGGUGUCUCCUGUCUGUCAGACUACUCGACAGGGUGCAUCCAGGGCCUCUAGCAGUUUAUUAGGACUGUGCAAGUGAGCUGAUAAGCCCAGAAGAAGGUUGGUGAUACGUUUAAGCUGAUUUCCUCACAAUUUUGUGUCUGGUUCUGCAAACCCACCUUCUCUUUUCACAUCCAGUGACAGCUACCACAUACCUGGAUCAAAGAUACCAGUUUUCCACCUUUGGUAUUGACACUUCUGAUUUCUCAGAUGUUAGGCAGAGCUGCCACAGCAUACAUAGCACUUGUAACAGGACCAGUGAACAGGUAUUUUACAGUAGUAUUCUGUAUAGCUUAUAUCAGUGGACCUGCUUAGGAACAAGGUAAAUAAAAUGAGUGUAUUUAAACAUUCCCAAAAGGCAUAAAAUAGCACUACUAGAGUGAUUACAAACCAUGGCUUUUUGCUUCUCAAAGUGUCAUAGGAGGAAUACACAAUGCCUGUGAUUAUGCUACAUCUGACAUUCUGUGUUCAGUAACAACAUUCUGCUUGUGACAGGAUUAAGUACUACUUUGUUUCUGGACUACUUCCAAAUGUGAGGUUUUUCUUCAUAAAUAAUCUGUACAUAUUACCCUUCAGGCACCUGUAAAAAAGGAAGCACUUUAAAAAAUUUACAAUUUACUUGUUUGCAAGUCCACUAAACGGAAAUUUCCAAGCCUUUCUUACUCUCUUCUGUUACAUUAACAAAACCUGAAACCUUUCUGCAGAUGAGAACAGAAUAGCCACUAAUAUUUCUGUUGGGCUGAACAAUUACUUUUUAAGUCUAUUUAUUCAGGGGCUCAUCAUUUGCUGUAGGCUUCACUACCUGUGUUUUUCUGUGAGUCUUGAGGGGUGGAGUUCAUUUUAAUUUCCUGCUCUUCUACCACACUAGGUAAACCAUCCACUUUUUUUUUUCCUGUCAUAGUACUUUAAUAACAUUAAACUGUGAAAUACUGCUACUUAGAAAAGAAAAAUCACCCCAGAAUUCCUUCUAGAUUAAUCUCCAUGUUACUAUUUCAUGUAUCAUCAUCUAGGUACAUCUUCAGGCUCCCACAAAGGUUUUAAAGUGGCCUAAGAUUUCUAGGUUUGAUAUUUUAGAUUACAUUACCUUGAAAGCAGGAACUCGUCCUUGUUCCUGCAAGUGGCAAACCAGUAUUGUGACAGCAAAACAGCUAAAAUAAUUUUAAUUUUAAAAUAUACCUCUCUCUUGUUCUGAACUCAGGAUACAAAUGCAUCUAUAGACACACGAUGUGAAUCCAGUAAAUACAAGUAACAGAGCUGAAAAUGUGAAGAGACUGAUGAGGGAAAAAAAGUGGUAUCUUCAAGAAACAGAUUCUUUUCCUCUUCUCUGGCAGGAGAAUUCUUCUUUUGAACUGGGCCUUCUCGCUCUUGUAUAAUGUAUCAGUCUGCAAUCAUCAGGAAAGUUGACAUUUUUCAUCCAGUGGUAUUAAUUUUUUGAAGAUAUUGACUGUGGGCAAAAUAAUUUUUCCUAAAGGAAAGACAUUGCUGCCCCAAAUUACAGUGGCAUGUGUGUCAGUGUCUAAAAGUUUUACAGAUUUUAUAUCACCAAAUUCACCAGAUCAAAGCACCUGGCUGUGACUAUUCAGGACACUAUGGUGCUGUAUUCCAGUCUAAGUGAUGAACUAUUAAAUGUGUCCCACUUAUGCAUACACCUGUGAAGUAAGACUCAGUGAAAAUUGUAUUAUACAUGGAAUGGAAAAAACCUCAAGAGCAAGACUAGGGAGCUUUUCCUUUUUGUCUUGCAAAAAAGCAAAAAGCUGAUUUUCUUAGAUAUUACCACAGCUAUUUCAGUACUUUUCAGAAGUUUGAACUAUUCAUGAAGGGAAAUCUGCUAAAAGCAUCAGCUGUUUAAAAAUGUUAAAAGUGGGCGUGCAGAGAACUUACAACAAUCGCUGUUCUGGGCUAAGCAUGGUCCCUGAGAACACAACUGAGAGCUGGACAAAAGGAGGUCCAGCCAUCUAGUGGUAAAUUACCCCGCUGUGCAGCCUGCUGGUGUCUGCCUUCCAGAGGGAUGCUGCGUCUCAGGGCCCCGGUGUGCUCCAGAGGGGAAGAAAAGGACAUUGCACAGAUUUUGACUGGCUCAGGACCUGGCAGCAGUGAGACAUUUGGGGAGCAAGCCAAGGUGCAGCAAAACUGGGAGAAAGGGUGGCAGGAUUAGUGACCACCUCAAACACAAGGGCAGUUUUGGCUGGGUGGACCAGGAAGAGCCUGCACUCAGUCAGUUCUGCACAAUAAAGAGCAUCUGCUUACAGUGCUUGUUCUCUUUCAGAAUACAUCUUCAUCCUAACGAGCUUACAUUUGCUACCCUGCCUGCAUCUGUACAGCAGCAGUCAGAGUAAAAUUUGGGCAGUUUUCCAUAAUCGCACAGCAGAGAACAGCAUGUCCAGUGAAUAUGUACAACCAAAUGGUGCAAUGCACUCCUAUCCCACUUCACACGUGGAAAAGAAAGGUUUAACCCAAAUUCUCACAUUUGAAACAAGGAUGAUGCAAUCAAACAACUACACAGAGAAAGCCAUAUGCUGAGUCCUAGCUGGAAUGAAACACCCAUAAAUUUAUUGAGAGUGAACUGUUUUAUAUCUUCUAUGUGGUUACAAAGUAAUAGAAAAAAACUUAACCUUGGCAAAGCCAGAAGAGAUGUCAAAAGAGUAAACCAUUAAUUACUUCAAGGAAGGUUUAAAUACCAAACUAUUUGUAUGCCUGUAUACCUCUCAGAAUUCAGCCCAAUAUGCCAAAGCUCCCAUUGCAAAAGUGGUAUCAAUGCUUAGAAGACCAAGUCUCCUUGAAAGCAAUCAGAUGCAAGUACUACAGAGCCUAGUUUGCAACUUGUUUGGGCACUGAAAAGAUUUCAUAUCCAGUGGGAUAGUGUAAGCCAGCCUGGAUAUGAAAUGACCAUUGGUAAACUCAUUUGACUAGCUAAUUUGACUGCUACUGAACACUUUUGAAAUAUCAAGUUUUAUCCAAAGCACCAUCCUUUGUUAGUUUACAAACAUAUGAAGCUGUGUUGCAGGUUGUAUUCAGCUUCUAAACACUGGCCAAAGUGCAGAUAUGGUUAUACCAGGCAUAGCCAGGUGAAUCUGGAAUAAUUCUGUGAAAAUCCGAAUAGUUAACUUUCUGCUGUGACAAUUUUUAUAACUGAAACCAAAGCUUUGUUCCAAGUAGUUACCGGAGCAUGAACUGAUUUUAGAAGAACCAUUUGUUCUUUAUCAGAAAACACAGUACUGGAGGGAGCACAGAGGAUAAUGCUUCCCUUGAGGUAGGGGACAGCUAAAGUCAGUUGAGUGUUACUUGCUGACAGCCACUAGUGUAGAAAAGAAAUACAGCUGUGUCCUCCCAGAGUGGUAUCAGCUACUAUAUCUCAAACCUUCACUUCUCUUUGUGAAACGUUUCUAUUACUCACAGUGGAUAGCUAAAAAAAACAGGGAGGAAAUAUCUGGUUGCUACUUUGAAGUGGUACUUGCCAUUGAUUUUCCAAUGUAACACUAGAAAACAGAAAUGCAAAUUCAUCAUGCAUGUUUUGACAAAGUUCUGUUCUAAGGAGUAUUUGGCCAUGGAAAGGGUGACUCUCCUAAUGAACAAUUAUGCUCAGUUUUCAUUUGGCCUUUCCAAACGUGCUCUCUUAUCUAGCUAGCAGGAGAAAUUAACUGCCUGGUGCCUGAAACAUUGUGUUCCCCAGUGGGAUGCCUCAUGCCAUCUGGCUUUGCCACAUUCGUUUCACUAAUGGAUCACACCUGAUAUUUGCAUUGCAUCCUACACCACAACACUUUCAGAGCUGUCUAAAACCACAGACUGUAAAAAGAAAAUGAGGAUAAAAGCUGUACUUCUCACUUCUCAGUUUUACCCACCAGGAAGCUGAAGCAAUAGGCAAGGUGUAAUGGACUUUCUUAAAGCAUCUGAGUAAAUCAGUGGCCAAGUUUGCUGCCUGUUCUGUAGUCAGCAGUAAACAGGCUAGGGCAGAACACUGGAUAUGAGCAUCCUGCUCCAAAAUCUGACAGUCUGCUUUUCCUUUUUCUACUGGUGAGAAAGACCUCAUCUCUGGGAUGGAGUAGUACCCAAAACUGCAUUCCUUUGCCAUAUGUUUUGUAGAUUCAUUGAAACAGGGUUAUUUUUUAAAGACUUGAAAGUGGAAUUUAAAAGCUGCUGACUUAAGAAAAAGGGGUCAAGAAGGAGAGCAACAGAAAAGAUCAAUGUUUGGGGGAAGAAAACAUGGAAACAGCACCUCCUUCAAUUUGUAAAACACCCACUGGAGUCAGGUUGGGGUGGUUUGGAUGAGUACAAAUAUACACAAUCCUGGAGACAGUUGAAGCUCUCUGCACUUGGGGCACCACUGCUGUCUCACUUUCCACUACUCUGCAGGUUGCCUGCUGCACUCUGCAAACACACUCCGCUCCUGUGGCUAUUUUUUGAAGCAGCUCCUUAAAACAGAUGUCCUCAUAUAUGUCUCUUCCCUGCUGCACAAAUAACACUUUGCCUCAUGCUCCUGCCAUCCUUUUGAACUACGUUUUUAAAAGAGAAAAAAUGGGGUAAAGAAGAAUGUCCUUUUCCAUUGGUGAUUUCUGUUUAACUUUCAUGGCACUGUCGCUCUGAGGCACCAGAGUUGCUUUUGUGCCCUUCAUAGAGCAAAGGUUUUCACUUUCUGGCCUUCUUGCUUGCCCUUCCAAGGAUUCUUCACUCUUUAGACUCUUUCCAACUCUCUCCCUCUUCUCCUUCUCUGACUUCUGGAUGCACUGCAAGCACUACAGGUCUCAUAAAAAGUUCCUCUGAGGAAGGAUCCACAUGUACCCGUUACACUUUGUUGUCCUUGCAUCGUCUUCUGCAGCUACCAGUGCCAUUGUUUGGCACGCAGGUACACCUGCUUUGGGCAUCCCAAACUUUUCCCUUGGAAGGAAUCACUCUCCUUAAAUACUUUGUCCUUGAUUCUCUUAGUAUUACUAACACUGGUAUUUUUCCUAAAGAAGCAAAUGGAGCAUGUGCAGAAUGUAGUAGCUUGAAAUGCAAUGAUUAAAGGAGGUGCUAAAUUGUGGAAGUAAAAUACCCUUGAUAGAACAUUUGGCCUAAAUGUCAUUACCUGGUACCUUUUGUGCAGACAGGCACUGAUGCUGGCAGCCUAGCUCACUGAGUUGGCAGGAAGUAUCCUUAGGGGUGUAAAGGGAACUGAUCAAUAAGGUGCUUUCCAUGAGUGGAGGAAGCAAGCACAAGCCAGCAGAGGUAGAAGCAGAGGAAUUACGUAAGUCUAUGAACUUUGAGCCCACAUGCGAAACCUCAGCUCCGAGAAAAUCAGUAAGAGUUUGGGGAUUUUGGCUGGGGAUAGGUUUUACCACACAGCUUAUUGGGCAAUGUUUCUACCAAAGUACAAAACUAAACUAAACUAAGCCAAGGGCUUAGAACAAGAGAAGAAUAUUCUCCCCUGUAUCCAAGCUCCCAUGUACAAUCAGCAGCGACACCCGUGGAAGCUAAACCAAGGAAUUAUAGUUUAGAAAAGACAACUUCUCGGAGACAGCCCCGGUGGAAUAAUAGCAUUCCCAAAUAGCUAUUGUAACAGUGUUGUUAACAAGGUCUCUGGAAUGCCAAACAAGGUUUCGACAAUUGCUGAUCACACCCAGUUUCAUUUGCUUCUUCCUAGGGGACUGCAAAAUUACCAUACUGUCAUUUCUACUCCACCUCUUUGCCUGAUGUCUGACAGUGAAGUCCUUCAAACUCCAGUGCCUGCAGAAGCUUUGUUACUGGUGGCACAAGGAUUCUGAACAGGCCACUGUGUAGGGACAGGGUUUAAACUGGACUCAUAAGGUUCAGAACUUGUUUUUUCAGUGUGAGUUUUGCUUUUUUUUCUGAUCAUGUAGCCUCUCUCUCAACAGCCAUGCUCCCCCCCUAAUGCUAGAAAAGAAAAACAGCCUUCUCCAAUUCAGUGCUGCCUAAGAGGAGAUGGAAAGAUGCUUGACAAACAGACAGGCCUUGAACACCCUGUGGAGGUUUUUCAGCCUUAAGUUACAUCUCCCAGCAUGAUUUGGCCAACAGAAGAAACCGAAAAUGGGAAGUGUUGCCUGCUAGGCACAGCUCUGUACUAUGCUGUGAACUAUUACACUUUUGCUGCUUUAGCACAGAAAAUGGAUCACAGUUGUGAUUUCAGGAGGAGGUCAUUGGCCCAAUUGCUUAAUAGUGAGAAAGGGAAAACUUUAGCUACUGUUCUGACAAAAAAAUAAAAAUAAUAACCCAGCAUGAUGUGAGCCUGAAGGUAAACACUGAAGUUUCAUGUGCUGUGCAGUUCCAGAUGAGUGGGCAUGUUAACCACACCUAAACACAAAAUCAAAAUAAAGCAACUUAAUUAGAGAAGAUAAAGUGAAACCAAAUAUCCUCAGCUCCCACAGCUAUGCUGGGGAACAUGGAGGCUCCAGCCUCCUCAUGCCAGCACAUGAGGCCCAUAGGCAGGGAUACAAGCAUGGCUGCUAGAAGGACAAAAGGGUCAGGUCAUGUACCAUGAACAUGGGCACAUAAUGAUAGGAAAUGGGGAAGAAUGUUAAACUAAAGGAAGAGAGAUUUAAAUUAGAUAGUAGGAAGAAGUUCUUUAUUGACAGGGUACUGAGGCACUGGAACAGGCUGCCCAGAGCUGCUGUGGAUGCCCUGUUCCUGGGAAGCCCCAUUCAAGGCCAGGCUGGAUGGGACCACCCUGAUGUCGUGGGUGACAUCCCUGCCCACAGACCAAGGAGUGCUCAGUGUAGCUGCAGUACAGCAUCCUCCAUCACAAGCACUGAAGCUCUCAGCAUGAUAGUGAGAGAGCAGAGAAAGGGAAGCAAAGGCCUCUUGUGUCCUUACCCACUGCAAGGGGCAGGGGGUUAAAAUCCCCCACAUACCUGUUUCACCUACAACUCUAACAUUUCACUGCCAGAACAGGAGAGGGGAUGAUAUUCUCUUUAGGGGAACAGGUUGAGUGUGGUGGACAGUAAGACAGGAGACCUGCUGCUGCUGGCUCUCCACCAGCCCUAGGACAUACAUUCCCAUGACCACAAGGAUAACACCUCCCCACACAGUGCAGACUUCACCUCUCUUAUACAGCCAUCCUGGCAGAUGGGAAGAUAAGCCUGGAAAAUUCAUCCAGAAAGAGCUUGCUGCAGGUCACACCUCUCUUCACAGUGCCGCUAAAGCCUGAGCCACCUCCUCCAGACACCUUCUGUCCCCUACUGUCACCAGCUGAGAGAAAAAAGACUAAUUUUGUUAAACUAGUGAAAACUGAUUAUUGCUUAGUAAGCCUAAUCCAUGCCUGCCCUCUAAACACAAAGGGGAAAAUAUAUGUUCUCCUUUAUAGAGCAAUGAAGAACAGAUUAAGACAAGAAUCUCUUCAGAAUCUGCAAAUCAGUUCCUCUUUCUUUCUAACUACCAUUACAAUCAGGAGGUGAAAUUCUGCUGGACUAAAGCUUUCAGCAGAGUGUGGUCAGCUCUGUGCUCUCAACAUCUUCAUCCUGCAGGCUCACUCCCACUUUGAAAAAAAUAUUCCCCCAUGUCAGAAGCAGUAAAUUUCAAAAGCAGCCAAUUUCACAAGCAGCAUCCAAUGAAAAAUCAUGGAAACUUAGGUGCCUGUGACAGCUGGAACAAAGGUUUAGCAAUACAUGUCAUGCUGUCUCAUCAAACCACGGGCAACAGAUGUACUUUGACACCAAAUCCUCUUUCUUCACAUUUAGGUGUAUUAAUUGAGUAAGGGCUUCCCCUUACUCCCACAUACCUGUUUUUCAUCACGCUUAAUGCAUGGUGUUCUGCCACCCAGAGUGUAAAAUGCAGUCACCUUUUUCUUCAGGUCACAGAGUAACUCCAGCCAUGCUUGAAGCCAAGCAGUCUCCCAGCUGCCACCACCUGAGUCUCACAGCAGUUGAGGCUGAUUUAAAGGCAGCAGAAGGCAAAGUUACAUCAAGCAAAACUGAUCCAUUUCUGCUGCAAAAUUUACACGUGGAAAGACAAGGGCAGGCAAUAACAGUCCAUAGAUCUCCAAAAGAAUUUGGUGCAAGGUGCAGACCUGCACCAAAAUGAAAGCAAUGCAGGAAGGCUGCUGGGUGACCCACGUGCCCUGGGGACAGGGGAAGGUAGCAGAUUCACCUGCAACCAUUACUUGUCUUGUCCCUCUGGCAAUAGUCAGAGGAAAAAGAGCAAGAUCUGUACUCUCAUUCCCCUUCUCUCUUUCUGCAGAUGCAAAUACUCAAAUUUUCAGACUGCUUUUAUGCCUUCCUGUGCUUCAUCACAGAAAAUAUUUGCAGCAGACACAGUGCUUCUGUAAGGAAGGAGAGCCAUCGCCUACUUAAAUCUGGAUUCUCCCUUUGCCCUCUUCUGCUUUGUAGUCUUUGCUUUUCUAUUUGUAUGGUUUGCAGGAAGGAUUAAGGUGUUUCUCUCAUUACCGUCCUUGCAGGGGUGAAACCUGACAGGUUUGACCUAAUGCCAUCACUUCUCUACUGCUGUCAUUGUAACAAACCCACUCUUCUUUCUCAGGGUUUUCAUCACAGAUGCAUGCCAGAUAAAUUUGCCCUACCUGUGCAGGGGUGAAUGACACUCUUAAAAUACCCAAAUCUCCUAGAAUUUAAUCUACAGUACAAUUUAUAACAAAAGGUGCAAAAUGGCACCUGUAUGUCCUCAUAGGUCUAUAAUCCCUAGCUGAAAAAUUUUAUGUUAAUCCUGCAAGGCUUAAAAUCAAUUUCAGGUACAGACUGAAGGGAGUUAACCAGCACUUUCAUGGAUUCAGCUGUCCCAUUCUAGGGGCAGACACCUUGUCUAAUACAGGCAAGAUCUAUGUGAGUAACACUGAUAAGCAUCCCCCAGAGUGGGCUGGAAGGGGUUUGUAAUUGUGUGGUUUCUUGCAAAGAGCCCCGGAGAGUUUCUUGUGGGCCUGUGAACCAAAGCAGAGUUUGAUGAGAACAAAACAAUGAGCACCUGAGGCUUGAUAGCACACUCUGACAGCAGAGAAACUGCAGAUGGGUGCCAUCAUCAGUAACAAGAGGUCAUAAAUGUUCAUAAGUCUAAAAGUGCUUUUCUUCAUGACUAUGCUGGAGCAGCACUGGUCUGCUCCCCUACAGAUACCAGCAUCUUCCAAUCAUCUCCACUGCAGUUGCUUCAUCCUUAUCAGCAAAGCCCACAAAAUUGUUUACAAGGAGCAGGCUGGUCAAGUUAUCUGGCAGCCUUAAAGCUGUCUCUUUCUGACAAAUAACACACUUUCUGCUCUAGGAAGGGGCUGGCCCUUACUUGGAACAGUAAAACAAGUCUAGUGGUAAAUAAAUCUAAAGUCAGAUCCAAUUAAUAUAUCCAAAGGGAAGCCUCCCAGCGUCAGGCAGAUAGGUGAGUUUCAAACCUGAACUUUGACAAAAUAAUAACUGACAACAGCUGCAAACCAGAGCUGGAGAAGUCACAUGCACUUGGAAAGUGGGCUUUGUCUUUGGUUGUGAGAAAAAGAAUGUUCUUCAUUUAUAUCAUCUAAGGCAAGAUAACUAGUGCAAGGCAGGUAAGGGAGCCAGCCAGCCUCAUUUGUAACAACUAACAAAAUGAAACAAUUGAUGGGCAUCAUGCAGUGCUUAGACCACUGUGACUCAUCCUGAAAGGACAAAUAGUCCGUGACAGGAUAUGAGCUGUCUCAUACAAAUAACAUCUCCUUUUUACCCAAUCAAAUGUGUGUCCAUAAAGCCAGAGAACAGGAAGUACAUCCUUGCCCCUGGCGUAAACCCACCUGAUGACAAAGAACAUCUGUCGUUAUACAACUUUUCCAUAGAGCCAUUUUCUAUGGUAGAUAGACAUUUGCAAAAGGAGAUCCUGUGGCAGAUACCACAAAUGACUGAUUGGGGGACAAAAUACUUCUGUCAUAUGAUUCCCUUUUCCAUUGGCAUUCCAUGUGUAUGAUUGAGUUUUAACCUGACUGGUUACAAGAAGAAAGUAAGUUCAUCCAUUCAUAGUUAACUCACAUGUAAAUAAUAUUUCAUAAAUAUUCCCACUGUCUCUUGGCAGUGGUGGCAGCCUCCACUGCAAGAGUGCCUAAUCACAUCUAAGGAAAAUUAUAAAGUCACACUUUGAGCACCAUCCUUGAAAUCAAUGCAAAUUUCUUUACACCCCUGGUGACAUCUGACAGCAAAGGAACUGUUCCAAUUGCUUUAAGAAGAUGUUCUGCACUGAGUCAAAAAGCCAAAGCCCUAAUUACAGUACCAGAAACCUGAGGAUCAGCAGCCACGCUCUUUCCCUUACUGUCAGCCCAGAGGCUGGCACAGCAGGUUCAGCAAGAAGCAAACCGAGCACCAGCAGUGCCUGCAGAACUUCCUUGGUCUUAACCUCAAUGCUCAGAGAUGCCCUGUUCCACUUUGAACCUUGAUUAAAGCUGCCCAGGCUGAGCUGUCAGUGUGACUCAGCAGCAGCACCGAUACCCAGUGUUCACACUGAGUUUCUCACUCUUGUGCAGAGUUUACAGCUGCAUUACAGAUCCCCUCAGAAACUUUAUGUAAGAUAAAGGCAGCCUGUGCAUUACCUCAAGGUCCAUGACAAAUAAUUACCUCAAUUACAUCUGAGGACUAAAAAAAAAAAAAAAAAGCAAACUUAAUGUAGCUAUAAAUCUUACAAUCUCUUCCCCCCUCCAUAUUUUUUCAAAGGAAAGUAAGUUAUAGCUGGAAUUCUCUGACUGUAGGAAAUGUAUCUUCAAUAAGUUAUUAUGUGGACUGGCUGAUAUUGAUGUAAGCUUAAUAAAUAAGAAUUUUUUAAUUUAUAAAUUACAGAGAUGCAUGAAAGUUAAUUUUUUGGAGGUAAGAUGAGGGAUGUUCAUUAAACUUCUUUUACUGCUAGAACUUGUGUACAAAUAAUGCACUAUUAGUUUUAAGAGUAUUUUUAUCUUCAACUAAAUUUGUCUAGAAAGGAAUUAUUUUUCAGGAGGCAACAUGAUGCAUCAAAUCUGGUUAGACAUUUAUUUGGCAGAGAAAAAUCCACAGUUCUACACAGAACAGUUGUAGCAAUAUCAUCAAGGUCAGGCUUUUACUCCUUUACAGACACAGACGCUCUCAACAUGGAAACUCUGAAAUUCAGAAAUUUAGAAACCUGAAAUUCAAGCUGCAGUAACAGGUAAAAUUCCCUAAAAAGUAAACUUAUUACCUAUGAGAGUGAGGAUUUAAUACAUAUUAGUAUUUAUCAGUAUUAGUUCCUUCCUUUUUGCAAGCUUCAUAAUGAAUUAAUUAUUCUAGAAUAACCAAAGGAAGAAAAAAAGAACUCACAACAACCUUCCUCUAAAGCAGAGCCAAAUUUUGCUCUUGUUAAUUCAUACUUCUACAUUUCUAGGUCAGUCAUUAUGUCACCCAGGAUAGACAGGAUCCUAAUUGGAACAUAAAGAACAAGCAGAAUAGAAAAAAAAGAAAAUAAUAAUCAGGAUCUUUCUCAAAACCGUUCCCUGACUUCAGCCUUUCUUCAAACAGCACAAAGUAGGAUCUGGCUGACAGCAUUUAUUCCCUUGAAGGUCACUCUGAAAGAAAGAGCUACUGUAACUCAAAAAGACUGUGAAGUUUUUUUACUUCAGUGAAGAAGGCAGCCUGAACUCUGGAAGAAGGCAGCAGGAAGAGACAGGCACGUGCUCACCCAGGGAGAUGUAUUUCCCAUGGAAAUACAGCUCAUGCCCCACAGCUGGGGCCCCACUGCUCAGGCUGAUCUGGAGAGCCCAGAGGCAGGGGAAUGCAGAAAGCUCCCUCACUGUGACAGAGAAAGAUGAGUUUCCAGGAUGAGUCACCUCUCUCUCGGUGCCUCUCCUAUUUGACAGUGUUGAGCCAGCAAACACUGACUUUCCAUGGCAAAAUGCAUGAGUGAGGAGAUUAGGCUGCCUUUGUUUAUGGCUGUUUCAUUUAUUAGGUCACGAGGUUCCUGGAGUCAUCAUGGGACUGUUUGGAAACAGCGACACGCGAGGCCAGAGCACGGGCAGAGAAGGUUCCUUUGCAAACAUGCACAAUUUGCAUUUGGUUACUUUUAACUGAAAGAGGAUUUAUAGCAUCAGCAAAGUGAAAACCACACAGUACCUACAGACAGCUCUGCCAAGUGACAUCUGGACUUAGUGAUUUAACUGUUAUCAGGGUGCUUGCAUUUGAAACGACCCUGGUCCUCCUGAUUAGGUGAGGCAGACUUGGAGAGGGGCACAAAGUACUGCUUUGUAAAAGUGCUAAUUAUCAGGAAUUACUCUUUUUUUAUUUGCAAUCAGAUUUUCUGCUUCUGUAAUUUCACUCUUUUUAUGGCUAAAUUGCAAGACUUUUAUUUACAUACUGUAUGGUUUGCAUGGCCCUAGAUGGAAGCUAUUAAGGUGUUAACCAGGCUUCCAGUACUCAACAACUUACACCUACAAAAAAUAUGCAAGCUAAACUGCAAACAGGACUGGCAGAGAGCAGAGUUUAAAAAAACCCACAACUAAACCAAAGAUAUCUCCUCACCCUUUUGUUAAGUGAUAGUUCUGACAUUUCUGCCACCAGACUGAAUUGAAAGGUGAGGCUCAAGCUGCAUUUUUUUGUGGGAAGCUACACUGACACAAAUGGAAGUGCCUUCUCACAAUGCAUCGUUGUGCAGGAAAUUCAACUGCUAUGUCAACUUCAAAAAACAAUAUUAUAAAUUCAUUCAGAAAGGGACUCACCAAAGUAAUGGAGACAGAUCAAUCAGAAGCUGUUAAACACAGCAGUCUUAGGUACAUAGUUUUUUGCCAAAAGUGGACAGAGUGUCCCAAGGGAAAAAUCACACUAUGGAUCUUUCAUUCCUCAAGCUGUUUCCUAAUCAUCUGUCACUGGCCACUGUUGGAAACAGAACACAAAGGAAGGCAAACAGCAGAGCUCCUGACUCCCAAGUGAGCCAGAAAAGUAAUUUUCUGUACGGAAUGCUCCAAGUAAUAAAGUAUCUUUAAAGCUUUACUAGCAGCAAUGAAACUCCUGCAUUUGGGGGAAAUUUGGGGUUUUUAUACUGCGUCCAGAGAAUAAACAGGUCCUGGAUUUUACCACAUGGAGACAAGUGAAGCAUAUCCCCUUCUAAUGAUAUUUGAGUCUACAGAACACAAGUUCCUAUCAGCCCAGGUGUUACAGUUACAUAUAAUUAAUUUUUCUUACUUGUACCACAACUCACAGUAAUAGAUUAGAAUUAAUAAAUGUUACAUUUUUAUCCUCCUACACUGAAGGGAUAACAAUAGUCACAUCAAACUGCAUGCUGAAAACAACUAUCAGCAUUUUCAAAAACAUCCACCAUGGUUUAUGAGUUACCUUUCUAACCCAGGCAGCUAUAGAAAACCGCUCUAACUAUGGCAUUUCCAGCUUUGGACUGUGGCAAGGCACAAGAACAAUUUCUGCAAGUUAUUUUCAUCUUGAACAUCUCAUUGCCACUAAACAAAAGAAGCUCUCUCAAGGGCUCACUGCUAAAGCCAGUCCAUGCCACAACCCCCUGCCGCAGAAGCCUAUUGAUUUUUCCAGGUGUGUUAAGUCCGUCUUGGUGGGGCAGAUAGGAACAACUUUACAGGAAAACACAGUGAAGGUGUUUUUAUGUAAUCCUAAACAUAGCAAACACAAUGCCAGCUGUUGGGAAAUGGCAAGGUACUGCUGGUUGGUGUGUGUCUUUUUACUGGAGUUCCAUUUCGGAUAUGCUGCCUACUGCUGUAUUGCCAAAUGUCUCCUUCCAUGUGUGUUCACGCUUGAAGUUUUUUACAGACUCACCUUAUUGCUGCUUGAGGGCAGAUGGCAGCUGGAGGCCACCACCUGGAAAAUGUGCACUUGCAAGUAUUUGAGUCAGCAGCCAAUCAUUUCAGCCAGGAAGGAGGUGGGAACAGGCCCAGCUGUCAAAUCUUUCCAGAGCCUAUCUGUAAAUAAAACACACACCUGGUGACACUCCCAAACACACUUCUGUGUGCGUAAUCCACAACCUGCUGCAGGGAAAUGUGGCCACAUUCCCUCAGCAGAACAGCCUUGCACAAAAUAGAGAAAAGAGGAUUCCUAAAAGCCAGGAAUGGCACUGGAGUCAGGGAGUUUGCAGUCUGGGUGGACUGGAGUUGCUCUUACCUGUGCCUCUGGCAAACCAUCUGCCCAAGCAAGCACCUCAUCCUGCUGGAUCUUCCUAAUAUCUGCCAGUUCUAUGUCAUUGAGGAGUUCCUCUUCCCAGGGCAAAAUUCCUAAACCACACAUUCCUUUCCCUGAGUCUUUCUAAAGCCUCUAAGCAAAAUCUAGAUAACAAGAGAUUGUCCCCAUGUUGCUUAAUAAAAAGCAAAAAAGAAACUUCGCUGAAAGGAAAAAUCCUCCAAACCAAUAAACUAAGUUUUUCAAGUUGUCGAUGACUGUUUUCUCCAUGGGAACAAUGUGGCAAGAAUGGAACAUACCAAAUGCCACAGGGCUGAAGUUACUGGAAAACAAGAACUCAGUCCUCAGUGUUCACUGAAAUUUGUAAAAACAUCCCAAACAAUUAGGUCUCACUAGAUGACCAAAACAAAAGAUUUAAGUCGCAGCUUACCUGACUUGUUUCCUUUUCUACAGGGCCUCACAUUCAAUUGGUUUACUUUUCUGUAAAAUAUCACAGAGAUAGAAGAACGGUAAGGAAGCCCUGUGAUUACAUUUUUUACCCCAGCACUCCACACUCAGACAUGAAGACCAGGAUGGACUUUGGCAGACUAUCAGGAAGUGACAAACUUUUCUCUGCCUUUCUUCCUUUCACAUUACCCUAGAGCCUUCUGCUAACACCUGAGCUGAACAUUGGACCAAUGUACGGCAAACUCCAUCCAGAGAGCCAGUCUUUCUUUUCUUGUCUGGUUGAUGUUUACAUAGGGAAUUUGCUGCAUAGAGCUGCAAACUUAUUUUAUUCCUCACUUUUUCUUCUACAGUUAGAAGGCCUUUACAGUCAAUUGUCCCAAUGGAGACCUCAGGCUGCAAAGUGGAAAAUAUGCACUGCCCUGUCCAACAAAACUGUUUCAGAAGCUCCAAUUUCUGCCCUCUAGUAAGGGACCAGCACGGGGUGAACUGGAAAGAUCAAAAAUGCUGCAUUAAGAUAAGUAACCAAUAGAACUGAUACAUGCACAGCAGUCACCUCACAGAUCGGCUGCAAAGGAGGAAUUACAAUGUUUAGAACAAAACCUACAGAUUUGAACACUGUUUUGGGUUCACCACCUCAGAUCCAGGAGAAGCUGUUUCAGCACCCCAGUAGUUACGUGGCUUUUGAGUAAUUGUUUCACUGUCCUCUGGCACAUUCCUGUGAGGAUGCUCCUCUAACUGCUGCUGGCCACCCCCUCUCAACUGAUAGGCAAACUGAAAGAAUGUCUUUACUAUCUGCAGUCUCCAUUUUAAGGUUAUGGCUCAGCUUUGGAAAAAACCUCCUCAAACCAACGCUAAAUAAAUGCACUAGACAGCUGGGAAUUUCUUCUCUCUUCUACUCCAAGCAAACCAACCCAGCUGCAGUCAGCAUGCAGGUACAUUAACCAGUAUGGUGCUCCAGAACUGCUGGAAAAUGUUAGCACUGCAAAAACAGUUAUAUAUAAAAUAGUCAAUAAUGUCAGUAAUAAUUAGCACUGAACACAGCUCAGCAAUGCUGAGGAGAUCCUCAGAAACUGUUAUAAAACAGCAAAAAUAAAGCCUCUCAAAACUGACACAACGCAGGGAAGAAACCAGGAUUUUAUGACAGAAGUAUUCUCAAAUGUAGUUAAAACCUGUACAAACCUCCUUACGAAGCCUGGACCCAACACUCUAAGGCACAGCACUCAUGGCAACAGGACAGUCAGCAAAUGAUCUCACUACACACAUCUCACACUGCCAAGGUAUUUUAUUCCCUUGCUGAUGCAUGCUAGUUCUGCUGCAAAUUCCUUCAGGGGACAGGAACGCAGACCUAAGCCAUAGUUCAAGCUUAUCCGUAUUAAAACAAAGGCAUGCUACACUCCAGAAUUUCCAAGAAGCUGAUUCUCUCUUGUUCAAACCUAGGAAAAACUCUAAAAUUAAAGGCAAUGAGUGGGACUGAGCUGACAAGGUAAUUUACUUAGAGAUGACCCCAAACCAUACUACUUCUAAUGCAAUUAAGAACAUAGAAAGAGGAACGGUUGGGUUGUUUUCAACCCAGUUCUGGCAGAACACCUAGAAUUGUGCAUUAAUACUCAUCUUGAAAGCCAUACAAGGGGCAGGGUUAGUGCACAGAACAACAGGAUGUUAGAACAAUAUCAAGUGCACAGAAGCAGGAGCAUGUUUGUAGAAAUGCAGUUGAAGGUGAUCAUGUCAGAGAGUAGAAGUGAAAGCCUCAUCUCUCAGUCCCAGAGGUUCCUGAGAGCAGCCACAGCACAAGCUCAGAGAAGAGCAGCAGCUCCAGCUGCCGAGAGCUGCCUCAGCACAGGUGUCCCCUCAGCAAUGCCAUGGCUCCUGCUGCUGUGAAACAGUUGUGCACAGCUGUGCAGAGACAGCUGGAGAGCACUGCCUCUAGUGAGAAACAAUGGCCAAGGAAAACUAUCAAAUCCAUUACAAAAUCUAAUUCUUCCUUUAGUAUCAUUUUCACAUUUCACACAAAUGUCAAAGAAUCAUCUAUUGCUUAACAAGUCACCCAUAUCCAAUGUUUUUUUCCAGCACAUUGCUCAAAUAGGUACCGCUGUUACAGUUUAUGACUACUCUGCACCACUAGUAUGACCCCCACAAAACAUUGGCAAAGCACCAAUUUAAUGAAGAGAAAAAGAGACUUCAUGUGGCCUUGUCACAUUCAGAACCUUUAAAGAACAGUGAUGGCUGGGGUCUACUUUAGCCGUAAUUAAAAGAAUACCACAACCUUGAAGGGAGAAUUGACCUUAAAGUUCCAUGAAAGUGUCAGUGCUUGAAUCCAGUUGUCAAUUUCUAUUGCUCUCCAAAUGACCUUUGAAAAAUCCUCAUGGCCUGAGGCACAAAAAAUUAAAAAAUAAUCAAACCUCAGUUCUGCCCUUGAUGCCCACCUCCCCCUGCCCCCCCUCCAGCUGGUGGGUACAGGAAGACACCUCUACCAAUCAAGCAAUAAAUACUUAAGGGACCUUUCUAAGCUUUUUUCUUGUUUUGCCCAAUCUGGGAUGCAUCUGUCCCCACAUGUCAGCCUGCAAAUUUCUCCCUUAUUUUUAGGGAAGGUACUGAAGGAUGAAUUUUCCAGGUCCAGGGAAACUUGGAAGCAGCAUCUCCACCUCUGGAGUUUGGUAGUCACCAUUUCCUCGCUGUGCAUCACUCCCACUACAAACACACAGCAGGAACUGAGGCCGUGGAGCAAGGUCCAUUUACAGCCAUGUCAAAUGUCUACUCUUGUAUCAGAAAGCCUCUCUGGCACUGAAGUGCACAGCUGUGCAGUGAUGACACCUACACAGUUUCUUUCUGGCACUGAAGCCCCCAGUGGACAGCACAGGCAGACCAAAUCCCUCCUGAGACUUCCCAGUACUGUCUCCAGCUGCUGGAUGUCAACUGCAGUGGCACUACCAGAGCUCCCAUUAAGGGUUCAGCUGCACUUUCCUGGUUGAUCCACUACACCAUACUCAGGCUACUCCUUCCUACUAAAGAAACUCUGGUAAACAAGGGGCGAACAGUGAUUUUGCAAUCAUGUUACACUAAUUCUGUCUAAAACAAGGCUGAUGUGUGGGUGAGCUGCAGGAGCCCCAGCAACACACAAGCUCAAGCAAACACAGGUUUCAAAGUUGUUCCAUACUCAUUUAUGUUUAAUCUGCAUUUCUCUACAUCCCAUACAGAGUCAAGAAGCUGAGACAUAAGUUCCUCAGAAACUUUAUUUUCAUUCAAACUACAGAAAUAAAAUAGUACCUUCCAAUUUCCCAUUAUAUUUUCUGCGUAUUUGUAUGGCUCAGGGCAAGAUGCACUAGGAUAAACUACCCUGUACAUACGGAGGAAGAUAAGGCUCAAAAACUAGCUUUAUUUCAAAGAAUGCCAAACCUUACCUAUGAGGUUGGUUCCAACUCUUUGAUAACAAUAAUAGGCACAACAUAGGAAAAAAGAUUGAUCUAAACUACCUAUUGUAAGCAAAAUCCAAUAUUCAUUACAGAAAGUCAAAGAAACCUUUUAGAAAUAACAAAACAAUUUUCUACUUUGAAAAAAUAGAUGAGUCAUUUUUGCUUUAUAUAUGGUAUAUUCACACACACUUUCAAGUAUCAUUUUCACUAUUAUCAUACUUACAUGGCUAGAGAUAAAAAAAUGAAAUCCCAUAAGCAGAUUAUUAUGCCAAAGAAGUCACACACGGUCUUUAUCACGGUUUAGCAACACCUGGAAUCUCCACUGUAUCACAGUGACUAAAAAAGCAGUGACUAGACUCAGUGUAAUUUUUCCCUUUAUUAAACAUGUUUUAGUAAGGCUUGAAAAGCAUCAGGAUUUAGAAAAAUGGAGACAAGAAAAGCAUAGGCAGUCAUAAACCUCACAGUCAUAAACCCCACAAAUUCACAGCUAAGCUUGUCACAUGCUCAGUACUAGCAGGGAAUUAAAAAAAAAUAAAUCUGAGUUAUGUUUGGUUAGCAGGCAAACUGAUACCAACAGGCAGACUUCAGCUAGGAUCUUUUUACAUUUAAGGCAUCACACAAAAUGUCAAGUUAAUGCUGGGAAGCAUAACAACCACCAUGUGCACAGCCAUAAUUCACACUUAGCUCUGGACAUCAGAACCUGCUUUAUUUCAAAAUAGAAAGGCUAGGAGGGAAUCCCAUAGUCUUCUGGGAAAGUGCCAGGCAGUCACCAAGCAAGAGGAAGCGUGACCAUGGUUUUUAUCACAGGAGAAGGAAUUUAAGUGCUUAUUAAAGGUUUUGCUGCAGUGCCAGAGCCAGACACCUGAAAACAUAUUCUGGCAGAAUACAGAACUUCUAAGAGCUAAAAGGCUAAUCUGUUCAAGCAACUGCAGUGAAUGGGUGUCCCACAAAGAGAUCAAAACCAGCAAGCCUUUGGGACUGGACAGCUCCUGGAGCUCUGACGUUAUGAUGGAGAGGUGCAGCAGGUGCCUUCCUUAGGACUGGUUCCACUCUGCUUGUUAAUGCACUCUGCACUUCUGCCCUCCAAAGAAUUUAAAUGGACAGGUAUGAAAUGCCUCAAAAUGAAAUAGUUAUAACCUAUUUCCUUCUUGGUCAUGUUAUUUCCAUUUGCCUGUUUCUUGCCCAAUGGGAAAAGGCACACAUUCUGCACUAAAAAAAAAAAAAUAUUUUAAGACCUAAGUAAAACCUAUUCACAAAAAAAUUUCGCAGAAACCACUGACUUUAAGAGGGCAAGGUCUACUAAAAGUUAAGUGCCAGGCAGCCUGAAAGCUUUAUGGUCUUAACUAUCAAGCUCAACUGUCUGGUUGACAGUCACUUGAGUGCAGGAUAUUCUUAAAAACUAGUUUUAAAACCAUCAGGCCAAGACUCAAAAAGAAAGUUGCUUUGAAAUAUGGGAGGUCAGAUACUAAAGAGAAGAUCCAUGUCACUUUCAGAGACUAAAAUGCAAUGUUUUAGGGGUUUUUUUUGCAUUUAGUCAGAGUCCCAGAAUGGAGUCCAGAGUACUUUUCCCAAGCAAUUUAGUAAGAAAGGAUUCCAUUAGGAAUCCUCACUCCAAGCUUGGCUAAAAGCCAGUACUCCAAGUUUCCAGAAUUUGGGUAACAUUAAAGUUAAGUUUCCUGAGCUAGAGACAACUUGAUACAUAAGACAGUGACACUGCAGCAGGACAAACAGAAGUGACAAUGAAAAGCAUUGCACAGCCCAAGACUUAACAUUAUACCCAGAAACUGACAAUUCACACACGUUCCCCUAUCUUCACAGGCUGUGUUUUGGCACAUUCUUACAUCUCUUCUAGCACAGCAAUUACUGCUUUCCUUGCUCUGCUGGUUUUGUACCACAUAACACCCAAUUCUAAAAGAUGCUUUAGACAUUUACUCUGUAGUCCUCCCAGGCUUACUAAAACCAUUGACAACAGCCACCCCUUUAGCUGGGAGUUUAAUGACACCGAAUAUUCUGCAUCAAUAUGAGAUACUUCAACAUUUACUGCUUUAUCCUCUCCUGAGCCUGUGGUUGUUAUAUUAAUACGCAGAAUGGAGAGCUCUCAGCUUUCUCCCUUAGCACACAAAUAAAGACUACACCAUUAUAAUCAGAAGAACAUUAGUAUGCAGCACGAAGUGAUUUGCAAGCUGGAGAAAACAAGGUUCGUGGUCAUUUGUUUCCUCUAAAAAUGAAUUAAAGGCAUAGGCUGUAUAUUUGGAAAAGAAACAAUGUCAGCUAAUUUCCUCUCAAGUCUUCCAGAAACACUGCAAUUGUAAUUUUAGCAGCAAAGAGCCUCAAAUUAACCUGCCUGCAGUUUUCAUACUACAGUGCAUGUUCACUGGCUGCAUCAGUAGGUUCAGGCUCAAAAACCUGAGGCCAUACCAAAAAACUUACCACUUUUCUAGAUGAACAAAAUGCUGCUACCCUAAAUAAUAUUCUGGUCAGUCUUGUAGUGAAAUGAGCAAACCCAAUACUAUGUAGUUCUCACAACAGCACUCAGUUUAAUACCAAUGGUCUUUACAAAAGGGCAGCACUACCACUCAAGUGACACUCCUUUGAGGGAGCCUGGUCACUGUGCUCCCAAAUCACACACAUGCAGUCAGCACUUGGGAGGCUGAUUCAUCUUCACAUUCCCAUGCAUGCAAGCAUUACUGAUGAUUAGCUGAACCUGGAAAACAGGCAUGGACUGCUGUAUUCUACUAUCAAUGGACCUAUUAAACAAACCUGACUUGAUCUGCACACCUGCUGAAUCAGGACAGGCAACCAGUUACACAAGAAUCCACAGAAACCAGCAUACAAAACAGUGUGACAGCUGGUGAAUGUGGACAGGGCUAUCUUGGUUAAUGACCAAUACUGAAGGCAUAGCAUCUUUAGACAGAAAUGUCUACUCUAAGUGUUUCUAUUAAACAGCCUUAAUAAUGAUAGACAUUUUUGGCAUAGUCUGAUAUGCUCCUUACGACACAUUUCUGAUCAAAUGUGCAAGGAAAGUGUUCAAGUCUACUUCAGCACACAGACACUUCAGUGCUUUCAUCAGGCAGAUUCAACUGAAGCUUCACUGCCAGUGACUAAACUUGCUUUAAUAAGUUAUCAUAAAGAUCAAAACCACAGUAAGCACCUGCCUUGACACUUAGCUGAAGAAAGGCUCCAUAGCCCGAGCAAGAUCUUUAAGUACAUCACACACUUAAAAUAAAAAGCAAGAAAUCAGCAAUAAAGCACUGAUUUUGCUGCAUGCUCUGCUUUAAGAGGUGGAAAGAAAAAGCCUCUCAUCUUUUGCUCAAAACAAGUGAACUCAACCCUCAAUCUUUUCCAAGUAAACUUACAGCUCUCCUGGAAUAACUUUCAAACAAUGAAACAAAGCUUCAAUUAGUCAGACAUGUAAUAGCAAGCUAUCUAGAUACUCAUACUUUUAUUUGUAGCCAUGUCUCUGGUAUGCUCUACUUUGCACUUUAUGUAUUAUAUCCUUAGAGCAGAAUCACUCACUAAAGCACUUUUACUGUAGCUCCUAUCUGAAACUUAACAGCUUUCUGUGUACCCCUGAAAUUCUUGGUUGGGCAUAAAACAGAAAUCAAAAGACAAACAACACAAACCAUGAUCAAUUAGACCAACCACUAAGAAAGAACAGUAGCCACAUUGAUAGAAUUCCACUUUGAUUUAGGGUGCUAUCUAAUAGGUUUAUUAACAGUUUCAACAGACUAUAGCUCCAGACUUUUUCUUUCUCAGAAGACACUACGUAGAAGCCACAGUAGAGACUGCCUUGUCACAAGAGGUACAAAUACUUGCUGUAUAGAUGGAGAAAUAAAAGGACAAAUCUAGUUGUCUAAAAGACAAUUCACUGUACACAUUUUAUUUACAGUUUUGUACACUGUCUUAGUAUGAAUGGGACCGCUUUUCUACUUGAGCCAUUUUAACCAAAGCAAAAUAACCUAAGUAAUACAAAGUGUUAAAAUACAGCGUAAGAUACAAAAACAGACAUACUAUUUCUAGUAAGGAAUGUAAAUUAUGGUGUUACAUAAAAAAAAUUCCACAUUUAUGUUUAGGAAAUCACACAAAAAGAUCACUGAUUUGACUGAAAUGCAUAAGUCUGUAGCAAAGCUUUGAUGUUACAAAAAACCAAAAAAUUACCAAAGAAUGCACAAAAUUAACGUUUAUUCCACCUUUGUCAUAUUCCCAGAUUCUUCACCAAAUGUUACAUGAGCAAAAACAACUGAAAUCAAAGUAUCACUAAUGUUAUCAAAUAGGGAAAACAAAUAAAUUAAUCUAGCAGCCAUCAGCAGAGGUUACAGCAAAGAUGAUGCUGUAUAAAAAAAUUGCUAGAAAACUGUAUGCACCAUACUCUUUUUCCAAACCAGCAAAAUCUUACUGCAUACAAUGCAAAUGUAAAACAGAGUAAUUUCCUGCAGGUACAGAAAUGCAACUUCUUUUCCGCAUACUGUGGAUAAACAAAUUAUUUUUUGCAAUAGUAAUGUUUCUACCAAGCUAUUACAGAGUGGGCUAGAAACACUUAUGGAUUUGGGGGGUGAAGUGUACUAAAAUUCCAAUUGGUAACUGUUACUUCAGCAAAAUAGAAAAAUUGAACAUAGAAG